rnacentral:rRNA from 1 species
ACGGGGCCCGCACAAGCGGUGGAGCAUGUGGUUUAAUUCGAUGCAACGCGAAGAACCUUUACCUGGUCUUGACAUCCACAGAACUUUCCAGAGAUGGAUUGGUGCCUUCGGGAACUGUGAGACAGGUGCUGCAUGGCUGUCGUCAGCUCGUGUUGUGAAAUGUUGGGUUAAGUCCCGCAACGAGCGCAACCCUUAUCCUUUGUUGCCAGCGGUCCGGCCGGGAACUCAAAGGAGACUGCCAGUGAUAAACUGGAGGAAGGUGGGAUGACGUCAAGUCAUCAUGGCCCUUACGACCAGGGCUACACACGUGCUACAAUGGCGCAUACAAAGAGAAGCGACCUCGCGAGAGCAAGCGGACCUCAUAAAGUGCGUCGUAGUCCGGAUUGGAGUCUGCAACUCGACUCCAUGAAGUCGGAAUCGCUAGUAAUCGUGGAUCAGAAUGCCACGGUGAAUACGUUCCCGGGCCUU